CUAGGGGGGCAGCAGUGAGGAAUAUUGGUCAAUGGCCGAGAGGCUGAACCAGCCAAGUCGCGUGAGGGAAGACGGCCCUACGGGUUGUAAACCUCUUUUGUCAGGGAGCAAAGGGCGCCACGUGUGGCGCUUUGCGAGUACCUGAAGAAAAAGCAUCGGCUAACUCCGUGCCAGCAGCCGCGGUAAUACGGAGGAUGCGAGCGUUAUCCGGAUUUAUUGGGUUUAAAGGGUGCGCAGGCGGAAGAUCAAGUCAGCGGUAAAAUUGAGAGGCUCAACCUCUUCGAGCCGUUGAAACUGGUUUUCUU
rnacentral:rRNA from 1 species